UUCCGACAGUGAGAGGAACGGCCGGAUACAGGAGACGGGAAGAAACAAGCCGAUUAUGUUCGCGUUAAUUAGGUGGUUGGAAGAUGUAAAAUUCUCAAUUCUGCCAACUGAACAUAUACGAGAUUUUAAUGAGGAUGAAUAAUUAGCCGGCAUGGAGGAAACGGACCUUUAUUUGGUGGAGUGGCGACAAGGAGCCAAAAGGCGGGUGGCCGGUCUAUGAAGCCUCCAUCAUCAAGCUAGCAGCCCAUGAAAUCGAACGCAGAUCUUCCUGAUGUGAGAUUUACAUAAAUAUGUCAAAGUCUCAACCUCAUGCUGCCCUCCCCCAUCCUCCUAAAUUUCAAUGGUGCGUGUUCUCCUAAUGGCCGCCUUCCCACUGGAGGUUUUGAUCCACAGCAAUUUAAAAGGAGGACAAAGCAAAACGGACAUCGGCGCAGAGUGAAGAACUGCCCUUCAUAAGGACACUAUGACAGCCAUAUAUAUGGCGGUAAGGAAGAGGUUUCCCAAUUUGUGCAGAAGGGCUUUGAGGAUUGCAGUGAAAGCUGGGGGAACUGAGACUGCUGGAAAAGGAAAAGAAAUUACAUUUUAAGUAUGUUGACUUAUGUUCAUACAAUCACACACACAUAUACACACACAUAUGUGUGUGUAUAUGUGUAUAUAUAUGUA